GUGUCCACUUCGGUAGCAUAUAUACUACAAUUGGAAUGCAAUAGAGAUUAGCAUGGCCCUUGUGCAAUGAAGACACACACAUCCAGGAAGCAUUUGGUAUUUUG
rnacentral:snRNA from 1 species